AUCUUUCUAGUAUAAAAAAUAUAAAUGACUUCCAAUCAUUAGACUUUGGUUAAAGCCCAAAGAAAGAUA
rnacentral:tRNA from 1 species